UUGCAUCGAUGAAAAGACGCAGCGAAAUGCGAUAAGUAAUGUGAAUUGCAGAAUUCAGUGAAUCAUCGAAUCUUUGAACGCACAUUGCGCCCUCUGGUAUUCCGGAGGGCAUGCCUGUUCGAGCGUCAUUUCAACCCUCAAGCCUGGCUUGGUGAUGGGGCACUGCCUGUAAAAGGGCAGGCCCUGAAAUUCAGUGGCGAGCUCGCCAGGACCCCGAGCGCAGUAGUUAAACCCUCGCUCUGGAAGGCCCUGGCGGUGCCCUGCCGUUAAACCCCCAACUUCUGAAAAUUUGACCUCGGAUCAGGUAGGAAUACCCGCUGAACUUAAGCAUAUCAAUAAGNGGAGGAAA
rnacentral:rRNA from 1 species